CAGUGAAGGCUAUCUCGCGCUUGCUCAACUUCAUACUGUAUAUGUAUACAAAUGUGGGAUGAAAGGGGAUGAAAUGAUGGUGCGCUGGCGCAAGAAGCUGCUGCCCGGGAAGAGGCUACCCAGGCGAACCCUCAGUCUCCGGAAUGCUGAGGGCGGUGGAUCGUGAUUCCACCUCUUUCAGUUUAUCCUAAUAAAAACCACGGUUCCUCGAUCAAAUUAUCGAUUGUCAAUCAAUUAGAAAUUCGAUUGGAAUAACGUUACUCUUUAGUGAUUAAUCCAGUGGAAAUUAUCUUUCAAUCCCUGUUCUUUGUUUGUAAUAAGUUUCAACUUACCUUCAUUUAUUGGAUCAAUUUUUUUUUCUCAUUCAAUCAUUCAUUAUUAUUAAUUGAAACAUAGUCUAAUUGAUUGAUAAGAGUGUUUUAAAAUUCAAGUGAAAUUUCUGCUAAUUAAAAUAUUGGGUAGAGAAUCUGUGGCGCGAAAUGGCCUCUCAGAAUAUCUAACAACACUUCCCUUGGUUUCAUAUACAAAGGAACAAAAAGCUUUCAUUAUUUUCUUUUAUCUUCUGGUAACAUUUAACAGAGAGACUAAAAUUGGGCUGGGUCUACAUUGAAUUCGUUCACCAAAAUGGCGUUCAAUUGCGCUGACGUCCAUUA